UCAGUCCAUAUCAAUUGUGUGACCAGGGC
rnacentral:piRNA from 1 species